ensembl:lncRNA
GAGAGAGAGGCUAUUUUGGCUUCUUCAUGUAAAAAGCCUCCACAGUAACAGGAAGUCACGAUGCCUCAGAUGAGCUUUAUUCUCAUGUUUUUAGUGAUGAGAUUUUCUGCUUCUGAGGAAGUGAAGAAGAACCUGACGGGCACUGUGGGAGGAAACAUCACUCUACCUGCACCUGUGCUGGAGAAAGGAUAUCUGUUAUAUGGAAGAAAGAAUAUUGCUCAUGUGAUUAAGGGGGGAUUUGACAUAUCAGAGGACAUUUACAAGAACAGACUUCAGUGGGACAGAAACUCUGGACUCUUUACACUCACAGAGCUGCAGAGGAACGACUCAGGGAGUUAUACUGUCGACUCUAAAACAGGAAACGAUUUCACAUCAUCAUAUAAGCUGACAGUGUACGACUCUGUACCGACUCCUGCAGUGAAGAAAGUGAGUGUGAGCUCUGAGAGCUGCUCCUUACUGUGUUUGGUGGACAGAGAGACCAAACUGCUGUGGUUUAAAGACGAGCAGAGACUGAACCAGAGCAGCUCUGCGCUCUCUCUGCCUCUCACUGUGCACAAACAGGACUUCAGCUCCUCUUACAGAUGUGUGGCUGCAAACCCUGCAGAGAAUAAAACUCUUCCUGUCCAUGUGAAUACGACCUGUGGAGACACCAACAACGACACCAACAGCUCGACUGAACCAAGAAGCUAUAACAUCCUCAUUAUAAUCUUCUGUGUCCUGAGUGCUACCCUCAUCAUCAUCAUCAUCAUGAAGAGGAAGCAUCCUGUCCAAGACAAGUUUAACCUCCUACAAGCUGCAGGCAGGGCUCCUGUGGAUGAAGUGGUCCUUUAUACUGACACAGGUGACAGCAGACAGGGUGGGAUUUUAGCGGCUGUAUCAGGAACCAGUGAUGGCUCCAGUCUGACAGCAGUGUCUUAUAAACUGGUGCUCAUCACAUGAUGACAGACUCUGCUGAUAACAUCUGAGACCUGAAGCUACUUUCAGCUGCUCCCUAAUUUACAAGGAGUGACCAGAGUGAACAGACGCCACCUUCCAGGGAUUUGUGUCUCCUCCACUUUUUUCUAGAAAAGUCUAAUUGUUGUGAGAUGAUGUAAUUUCUUUGGAACGUCACAGAAACUCUUUUUCUUUCCACUUUCAAGCUCUAACAUUGUUAGGAUCAUUCCUCUGACGAGUAGCUUCAUGGUAAAAAGUGCAAAUUUCAGCCUCCAUCCUUGAAACUGUUCUAACAGGUACGUCAGAUAUUAAAUAUGGGAAUCACAGAUGCUCAGACUGAGAAUUUUUCUUAAAAUCCAUUUAUUGAUAUAUACUGACCAACAGUCAAAUUGUGUCACAGAGAUGUUCACACAUACUUUUUCGUAAAAUUGGACACUGUAAUAAAAAUGCCACCCUGAGUAUUG